CUGCUCAACGUGAGCAGUGUCACACAGCUCUGGGGGGUGCCAUUCACAUUGCAGUCCAUGUGACUGGUCCCCUUGCAAUUGUGCAGUGCGCAAUGUAGGCAACUGGAGGAGGUGGCUUGGAUACGAGGCGGAAAUGGGAGAGCGGACGGGAGAGAGCCUGGAUGUCAUGAGAGAGUUGUCAAGCUGGAAGGAUGCAGGCCCAAUCUUUGCCGCCACAAAGGAAGACAAUAAAACCCAUACAGGAGAAAACAGAGUCACAGAUGGAGACAAUCACAUUCCUGGUGACAAUGUUUGAGCACCUGGAUCCAGCCCAACCUAAGGCCAUUUUCUCUUAUGCUUUUUAGAUCUGUGAACCAAUAAAUCCCUGCUUUAAGGGUUGGGCUAGUUUA